rnacentral:rRNA from 1 species
CUACGGAGGGGGUUAGCGUUGUUCGGAAUUACUGGGCGUAAAGCGCACGUAGGCGGACUGGAAAGUUGGGGGUGAAAUCCCGGGGCUCAACCCCGGAACUGCCUCCAAAACUCCCAAUCUAGAGAUCGAGAGAGGUGAGUGGAAUUCCAAGUGUAGAGGCGAAAUUCGUAGAUAUUUGGAGGAACACCAGUGGCGAAGGCGGCUCACUGGCUCGAUACUGACGCUGAGGUGCGAAAGCGUGGGGAGCAAACAGGAUUAGAAACCCUAGUAGUCC